rnacentral:rRNA from 1 species
AGAGUUUGAUCCUGGCUCAGGAUGAACGCUGGCGGCGUGCUUAACACGAUGCAAGUUGCGCGGGGAGUCUGACGAUGAGACUUCGGUGGAUUUGUUAGAUCCAAGCGGCGGACGGGUGAGUAAAGCACAAGGACGUGUCCGAGCGAGGGGACAACUGCGGGAAACCGUAGCUAAUACCCCGUAAGCCGAGAGGUGAAAGCAGCAAUGCGCGAGCGGAGCGACUUGUGCCCUAUCAGGUAGUUGGUGAGGGCAACGGGCUCACCAAGCCGAAGACGGGUAGCCGGACUGAGAGGUUGUACGGCCACAUUGGAACUGAGAAACGGUCCAGACUCCUACGGGAGGCAGCAGUGGGGAAUAUUGGGCAAUGGGGGCAACCCUGACCCAGCGACGCCGCGUGAGGGAAGACAGCCUUCGGGUUGUAAACCUCUGUUGCAGGGGAAGAAGGACGUGACGGUACCCUGCGAGGAAGCUCCGGCUAACUACGUGCC